AGCAAGGAGAGAGGCCUGGGGAGAUUGAUUGUCACAAGUGUGGUUGAUGAAAGGGGACAGUUUGACUCUUCACUGCCUUCUCUCUGUGAGCAGGCAAAACCUGCUCUUAGGAGGCUUUGCAAACUCAUUCGUUCUGAUGGUGGAUGUGGCUGUGAUCAUCACCAUCACCGCUGUCACUGGUAAUCACUAACAAGCAUCUACUAUGUCCCAGGUACCCAGCAAAGUCUGGUGAUACCAAAGCAGUGGGAGAGUCAGACAGUGGACAAUCAACCAUAACAAUCCUGGAACAAAGGACCCCAGAAGAAAGCAAGUUUAACUUUGCCUGAGGGCUUUAAGGGAAGGAUCAAUGCAGGAAACUGUGAGUGAACCAGACACUCUGGAAGGAGGAAAAGCCGGAACAACCGAUGGGCUCUGGUGGUCACCCUGCAACCAGAGGACAGCCCACCGUGGUUGUCGGAUGACGGGUUAGCCACGCCUGGGGAAGAGCUGACUGUGCAGCCUCGUUCCUGUCUCCUGGGUGACAAAGCCUCCGGAUGACCCCGCCAACAAUAAUGAGAUGAAAAUCAAGAGUCCUGCAGUAUAAUGAGCACGAUAAAAAUAGAGACUUGCUAAGUAAAGGGCCCGCGCUGCGGUGGUUGAGGAGGGGGAGGAGCUGGUGGGCGGGGCCUCCCGGCCAGACUCCCUGCUCUGUCGCUGUGACUCAAACAGGCCAAGGCUGGUCCGUAGGUGGGGUGGCAAAGACGUCAGAGAGGGAUUAAAGACUGGACCUUCGUAAACAUCCUGAGCAGACUCUGCCCUGGUAACUGUGACUCUGACCUCCACAGGGGAGGGACAGGGUGUGGCCGACACAUGCUGAUGGGGUUGUGACAUUCCUGCCCUUAGCUUGAACACCUUGCCUGCCAGUGAGCAUCAGAAAAUGCUCUAAGAAUUAACGCGCUAAUUUUUUUUCAAACAUUGUACCUCUUGUCUACAGUGUAUAGUGGAAAAACUCUGUUUAUUCUUCCCCCUUCUUUCCCUCCUUCCUUCCUUCCUCAGUUGGUGGCUUGGAGUAUCUGCCAGGAAAAGCAGCCGCUUCAGUGAAAGGAAGGAGGGAUCUGGGCGCUGCAGGGACAGCUGCAUGGAAACCUUUUGGUACCUCAUCUCUCUACAGUUUUUUUUUUUUUUCGUAAAAAAUUAAAUUAGAAUUUAUUUUUGAUAUUCAACCGUGAGAAAGGAAGAUAUCCUCCCGUUUGUGACAACAUAGAUCAACCUUGAGCACAUUAUGCUAAGCAAGAUAAGUCAGACAGAAAAAGACAAGUGCUGUAUGGUAUCUCUUAUAAGUGAAGUCUAAAAAAGUUAAACCUGUAAAAAGCAGAGAGUAAAAUGGUGGUGACCAGGGGAUGGGAGUUUGCUAGUAAAAGUGAUGAUGUUUAAGGGUAUACACUUGAAACAAGUAGUAAAUAAAUCAGCUCUCUAAUGCACAGUAUAAUGAAUACAGACAAUAAUAUGGUACUAUAAUUAUGCAAUGUGAUAAAUAGUGCUACAUUGGCAAUCAUAUUACAAUAUCUAAAUGUAUCAAAG